AUACGGAGGGUGCAAGCGUUAUCCGGAAUCAUUGGGUUUAAAGGGUCCGUAGGCGGAUGUAUAAGUCAGGGGUGAAAGUUUGCCGCUUAACGGUAAAAUUGCCUUUGAUACUGUAUGUCUUGAAUACGUGUGAAGUGGUUAGAAUGUGUAGUGUAGCGGUGAAAUGCAUAGAUAUUACACAGAAUACCGAUUGCGAAGGCAGAUCACUAACACGUCAUUGACGCUGAUGGACGAAAGCGUGGGGAGCGAACAGGAUUAGAUACCCUGGUAGUCCACGCCGUAAACGAUGGAUACUAGCUGUUCGGCUUUCGGGCUGAGCGGCUAAGCGAAAGUGAUAAGUAUCCCACCUGGGGAGUACGUUCGCAAGAAUGAA
rnacentral:rRNA from 1 species